GAUGAACGCUGGCGGCGUGCCUAAUACAUGCAAGUCGAGCGAACGGACGAGGAGCUUGCUUCUCUGAUGUUAGCGGCGGACGGGUGAGUAACACGUGGAUAACCUACCUAUAAGACUGGGAUAACUUCGGGAAACCGGAGCUAAUACCGGAUAAUAUUUUGAACCGCAUGGUUCAACAGUGAAAGACGGUUUUGCUGUCACUUAUAGAUGGAUCCGCGCUGCAUUAGCUAGUUGGUAAGGUAACGGCUUACCAAGGCAACGAUGCGUAGCCGACCUGAGAGGGUGAUCGGCCACACUGGAACUGAGACACGGUCCAGACUCCUACGGGAGGCAGCAGUAGGGAAUCUUCCGCAAUGGGCGAAAGCCUGACGGAGCAACGCCGCGUGAGUGAUGAAGGUCUUCGGAUCGUAAAACUCUGUUAUUAGGGAAGAACAUAUGUGUAAGUAACUGUGCACGUCUUGACGGUACCUAAUCAGAAAGCCACGGCUAACUACGUG
rnacentral:rRNA from 1 species